CAGUCGCCGCGGUAAUACAGAGGGUGCGAGCGUUAAUCGGAAUUACUGGGCGUAAAGCGCGCGUAGACGGUUUUGUAAGUCAGAUGUGAAAUCCCUGGGCUCAACCUGGGAACUGCAUUUGAUACUGCAUGGCUAGAGUAUCGAAGAGGGAAGUGGAAUUUCCGGCGUAGCGGUGAAAUGCGUAGAUAUCGGAAAGAACACCAGUGGCGAAAGCGACUUCCUGGUCGAAUACUGACGUUCAUGUGCGAAAGCGUGGGGAGCAACCAGGAUUAGAUACCCCUGUAGUCCCUGUCUCUUAUAC
rnacentral:rRNA from 1 species